GAAAUGCGAUACGUAAUGUGAAUUGCAGAAUUCCGUGAAUCAUCAAAUCUUUGAACGCACAUUGCACUCUGUUUACGCAGAGUAUGCCUGUUUGAGAAUCUAUAGUAUUCUUUUUCUCUAUAAGAUUUUUAAUUUUAUAUGGGAAAGUUUUGCGGAUUUUGGGUCAUUAAAAAACCCAAUUCUGUUAAAUCUAUAGUCAUUUUUUUUAUAGUCAAUGUUUGAACUCUCUAUAAAAACUUUGCAGAAAUGUAUUUGAAUGAACCUACCAGUUCUCCUUAUACAAAUUACGCAGAGAGAGAUUAGUUUUCUAUAAAAGAUAAUGCCCAUAACCAUUAAAAAAGUAGAUCGUUAGAUUUAUUUUUUGAACCAUGGUCUCAAAUCAGGUAGGAUUACCCGCUGA
rnacentral:misc_RNA from 1 species